GCCCGGGUGGUGGAACGGUAGACACGGGGGACUUAAAAUCCCCUUCGAAAGAGUGCGGGUUCGAGUCCCGCCCCGGGCA
rnacentral:tRNA from 1 species